UAGAUCAUUUAGUAGCAGUGUAGCACAAGGAGGAUCAAUAAUUGGGCAUUCAAAUCUUUAGUAAUUAGUAUCCUCAAUAAUGUCGACAUUUCUGAAUCACGUUUCUUCAUUAUUAAUAAUAAGAUGAGGUUAGUUAAACACUUGAUGAGCAGGUUAUAAAUAGGCAAGCUUUGGUAUGAAUGGAAUGCACCAAAUAAGGAAAAGUUCUCCCCUCUACAAAAUAAAAACCUACCAAAAAAAAAUGGUGAAAUUUAUAGUAAUUGCUAUUCUCGUCCUCUUUGCUUCAGCGAUAGCAAGUUCGCGAGCAGGAAGCAAGACCCUUGAAAUGGUGACCUCAGAUGGACAUAGGGAAGGAAAGCAAGAGAUGAUGGUAGAUGCUAAGUUACCAACCAUAAUUAAGGAAGAAAUUUUGGUGAUUGAAAGGCCGAAUGAAAAUGGAGCACUCAAAUGUGCCGCUGUGUUGGAAGAUUGCUUCAGAACUCCUUGCUGCCCGCCUCAUUACUGUCAAAUUUACCAACGAGCUAUUUGUAUUUAAAAAUUUACUCUUAGUUAUGGUUGGUAAACACGGAGUAUGUGUAUGCCUCUCAAGUCUCAACCAUAUGAAAUUUUUAAGUACUACUUGAAAUAAAAGGAUAUUUUAUCUUUUA